UUUUUUCAGUCUUAUGAAGUACCUUUUUGCCCACAUAGUUGAUGACUCGGAAAGGAGGAGAGAAUUUAACCACUCAGUUUUCUGACAUGUAACUGUGGAUCCUACUCAGUAGUUUCUCAAGGAGGCUGAAAACCAUAUUAGCUACAUUUAGGACAAACGUAAAUCACUCCAGGUAAACUAACUUUUUAAAGAAAAGUAAUAAUGCAUUACGGAGGCCUUGGCUAGGUUCAUGAUGACACAGGACCUUGUCUGAACAUAAUGAUUUUAAAACUUGAGCUCAAAUGACACUCUGAAAUCUAGUCAAUGUGCCUCAGUAGACUUUUUAGAGAAAAUUAUUUUCAACAGAAAAUUUUGGCUUACUGUGAGAACUUUGAAUACUUAGAAAUGACAGGGGUAGCAGUAUACUUUGCCAGUUCCUCAGACAAUCCUUUUUUUGUAAAUAUUCAUAAAUAUUCUGAGCUCAUUAUUUUUUCCCUUUUUUUAAAACAUGCCAUUGAAAGCAAAAAACGAAGCUCAUCUUUACAUCUCAGAAGGCACAUGCAUAUGCCGAGUGGAAGCAAGGGGGUAAGAAGAUCUCUUCUUGCUUAGUGAGAUGAUGAAGGCCCAAUAAGAGAGCAGUAUUUGAAAUACAGUUCCAAGGAUAUGUUUGUUCUAUAUGUGAAUGUUGAUUUACAGCUUCAGGUGUUAAUACAGCAAAUUCAUCUCUGCCAAAAGUGAGUAGACCGUAUAGAACAGCUACAGUAUACUCAUUCAACUUCUUAAAUGAUAGAAGAAGAAAACGUGCCUUGAGGAACGUUUUCCUUGUGCUCAAAGGGAUGUGGCAUCUUGGCCCUGGUAUCGUCUACUGACUGGAAUGCAAAUUAAAAAACAAUUUCAUUAGUUUGUUCUGCAUUCAGUUAUCACCUCAGUUUGUUUCUGGAACCCAUGUUGCUAACAUCACGUGUUUUCUUGUUGUUUAUAAUUUAUUGUCCAAUUAGCUAACAUACAGUGUAUACAGUGUAUGUAUACAGUGUAUACAGUAUAGUCUUGGCUUUGGGAAUAGAUUCCUGUGCUUCCUCACUUACUUACAAUACCCAGUACUCAUCCCAACAAUUGACAUCCUCAGUACACCUCACCCAUUUUCCCUGUCCCUAUAACCCCCUACCCCCCUCACCCUCAGCUUGUUCUUCGUAUAUAAGAGUCUCUUAUGGUUUGAUUUUUGCCUAUAAUUUAGGAAGUUCUAAUGUGGAAUAGUAAUGGUUAGUAGAUGACUAGACUGGGU
rnacentral:lncRNA from 1 species